UACGGAGGGUGCAAGCGUUACUCGGAAUUACUGGGCGUAAAGCGCACGUAGGUGGCGUGUUAAGUCAGAUGUGAAAGCCCUGGGCUCAACCUGGGAACUGCAUUUGAUACUGGCAUGCUCGAGUUUGGUAGAGGCAAGUGGAAUUCCAGGUGUAGCGGUGAAAUGCGUAGAUAUCUGGAGGAACAUCAGUGGCGAAGGCGACUUGCUGGACCAAAACUGACGCUGAGGUGCGAAAGCGUGGGUAGCAAACAGGAGUAGAUACCCUGGUAGUCCACGCUGUAAACGAUGUCAACUAGCCGUUGGACUCAUAAAAGGGUUUAGUGGCGCAGCUAACGCGAUAAGUUGACCGCCUGGGGAGUACGGCCGCAAGGUUAAA
rnacentral:rRNA from 1 species